AGGUUGUAAAGCACAAGAUAAACCCCCAUAAAGACCCUUGAAAUAUUGCUUAUUGAUAGCAGUUCAGGAAUCAGACAAUCGUCUCCGGCCCACAUUUGGCGAAUCCAAUGUGACAAUAAAGGACAUUCGAAGAGCUGAUAAUCGGGUUAACUACAUGUGUUAGAGGAUUUGGAUGUGAACUCGUCCAUUCUCUGCAGCAACCAGAAGAGAUUCAACUACUUGCAAUUUGAAAUGAAGGCCAUUUUUGAUGGCCUUGAUAACCUUCCCAAUCGUCCGGUGUACGUCCACGACUCAAAAAUGGGUAUAGUUCAAAACAUCAUCACGCCAAUGACAGCGAGUAUCCCAGAGCUGGAAUACCCCUGCAAAGAGGGGUAUAGCAGAGAUAACCCAUACGAAGAGAGUGCGAAGUGUGUCAUCAAUGACGAUCAGUUGGUGACACUCCUUGAACAUGGGGACUGGCUGACAGUCAAGUUUCGGUCAACUAGUGGUGGGUUUCAGAAACUCGUAAACAUCGACAACCAAGCAAUUCCCUACAUGACAAAAUACUAUAGUGGACUUUCAGUCAUCAAAACGGUUGAAUCCGCUUUGACUUCGAUGCCCCCAAACACUGCUCAGAAGUAGACGUCUCAACAUGCCCAUCGCGUUAUUCGAUUUUGACUAUUGACGCAACGUACACAAAGGGACCAAUAAUACAUCGAUGGCUGGGCUGGACCGAUAUCAUGUCAGGGGUUGGAGAAUACUUCAUCGAAGUGUUCAAACUGGAGCCCAACAGGGACGGGCGACUUGUGGAGACAACGCCAAUUAAUCCUAUAUUCUCUGACACAGUGCCGCACACUACCGGAACCAUCCAGUAUCCGCAGCACACGCCACCUAGGCCAGGCAUGUACAGUGUCCUUCUGGAAGUUCGAGAUAAUGCUAACAACUCACGAAUCACCCACCGGUUUGUGUUGUACGACGCAACCUAAUCAAUAACUCUGAACACUGAGACCGCCGAACUGUACAUUUCGUCUGCCAAAGAGGAGACCGGAUAUAAAUGGCAAGAACCUGCGUCAACAGGAACUAACUGUGUCAGUAGCCUGGCCCAACUAUUUUGGCAACCGUUGGCACGAGGAAAACCAGUUUCUAGCCGAAAUCGAACAGUAUCCGGUGCAAUUUAAAGAAAUUGAGGCAGACAGUGAAAACAGACGCUCUGGAUGACAACGAAGAGCCCAGAACCCGUUCGGCGAUCCCGAACUUUCAUGGUAUCGUCAAGUAUGAAAUUGUCUUUGUGUCGACAGUCGAUGCUACGGAGACCACGUACGGUUGGCAAAGUAUACCCCUGAAUGAGUCAUAUUCUACCCAGAGACCUUUGGUAGAUGUCAAUCGGAGAUGCAGAAUGCCGUGAUGUGGUCGGAGUGUGUUUCCUGUCAAGCCAGACCGUGUUUUUGGACAAAUGUUGGAUGCUGGUGAGAAAAUAAGAUCUAGACAAAGUGUCUGCUAUGGCCAACGUGACGGCAUACAACCAAGCCUUGUUGGGCACAUCUGCAACGAUCAAUGAACGUUUGAAUAAUAAAUAAAUAAAUAAAUUAGCAUUAGGCGUAAACCAUUAUGUUUGGUUUAUGUUACCUUACUAAAGCCCAAACUGCAAAUCCCAUUAGUUGUGUUCGUUUAAGAAUCGGUAAUUUGAAGUGGAACACAAAUAUGUUUACGCUUUCAGACAUCAUGUUUUUGUUACAAACCCCAUUUAGAUUUUCGCUCGAUCUUUCUUUUGUUAUACAAUGUUGUAAAUAAAUAUUGAUUGAAAAUAUGUUUUCGGUAACAGUUUUGUUUAUAACAUUCAAACGAAAUACUUUGAACAUAGAAUAACUUAUUAUUCUUAUUUAUCGUGUUUCUGAUUGAGAUAUCUGUAAAACAGUUUGCAAAAUUGUUAUACACAGCCAUAGGAACAUAGUCAGGGUUAUGUAUUUUUGUUGUAAUGAAAAAUAAAGUUUGGAAAGAAU